rnacentral:tRNA from 4 species
GGAGGUGUCGCAUAGUGGUCAAUUGCACACGCUUGGAAAGCGUGAUCCUUCGGGAUUCAAGGGUUCGAAUCCCUUCACCUCCG